rnacentral:tRNA from 1 species
AGAUCUUGGCUUAAUUGGUAAAGUGUAUGACUUUUAAUCAUUAUUAUAAGGGUUCGAGUCCCCCUAGCUA